rnacentral:rRNA from 1 species
GAGUAACACGUGACUAACCUACCUUUUAGUGGGGGAUAACAUCGGGAAACCGAUGCUAAUACCGCAUAACAUCGCAAGAUCAAAGCAGCAAUGCGCUGGAAGAGGGGGUCGCGGCUGAUUAGCUAGUUGGCGGGGUAACGGCCCACCAAGGCGAAGAUCGGUAUCCGGCCUGAGAGGGCGCACGGACACACUGGAACUGAAACACGGUCCAGACUCCUACGGGAGGCAGCAGUGGGGAAUUUUGCGCAAUGGGGGAAACCCUGACGCAGCAACGCCGCGUGGAGGAUGAAGCCCCUUGGGGCGUAAACUCCUUUCGACCAAGACGAUAAUGACGGUACUGGUGGAAGAAGCACCGGCUAACUCUGUGCCAGCAGCCGCGGUAAUACAGAGGGUGCAAGCGUUGUUCGGAAUUAUUGGGCGUAAAGGGUGCGUAGGCGGUGCCACAAGUCACUUGUGAAAUCUCCGGGCUUAACUCGGAGCCUGCAGGCGAAACUGUGGUGCUGGAGUAUGGGAGAGGUGCGUGGAAUUCCCGGUGUAGCGGUGAAAUGCGUAGAUAUCG